rnacentral:rRNA from 1 species
UACGGGGGGAGCAAGCGUUGUUCGGAUUUACUGGGCGUAAAGGGCGCGUAGGCGGCGCGACAAGUCACUUGUGAAAUCUCCGGGCUUAACCCGGAGCGGCCAAGUGAUACUGUAGUGCUAGAGUGCAGAAGGGGCAACUGGAAUUCUCGGUGUAGCGGUGAAAUGCGUAGAUAUCAGGAGGAACACCGGUGGCGAAGGCGGGUCUCUGGGCCGAUACUGACGCUGAGGAGCGAAAGCGUGGGGAGCGAACAGG